CCUGGCUCAGGAUGAACGCUAGCUACAGGCUUAACACAUGCAAGUCGAGGGGCAGCAUGGUCUUAGCUUGCUAAGGCCGAUGGCGACCGGCGCACGGGUGAGUAACACGUAUCCAACCUGCCGUCUACUCUUGGACAGCCUUCUGAAAGGAAGAUUAAUACAAGAUGGCAUCAUGAGUCCGCAUGUUCACAUGAUUAAAGGUAUUCCGGUAGACGAUGGGGAUGCGUUCCAUUAGAUAGUAGGCGGGGUAACGGCCCACCUAGUCUUCGAUGGAUAGGGGUUCUGAGAGGAAGGUCCCCCACAUUGGAACUGAGACACGGUCCAAACUCCUACGGGAGGCAGCAGUGAGGAAUAUUGGUCAAUGGGCGAGAGCCUGAACCAGCCAAGUAGCGUGAAGGAUGACUGCCCUAUGGGUUGUAAACUUCUUUUAUAAAGGAAUAAAGUCGGGUAUGCAUACCCGUUUGCAUGUACUUUAUGAAUAAGGAUCGGCUAACUCCGUGCCAGCAGCCGCGGUAAUACGGAGGAUCCGAGCGUUAUCCGGAUUUAUUGGGUUUAAAGGGAGCGCAGAUGGAUGUUUAAGUCAGUUGUGAAAGUUUGCGGCUCAACCGUAAAAUUGCAGUUGAUACUGGAUAUCUUGAGUGCAGUUGAGGCAGGCGGAAUUCGUGGUGUAGCGGUGAAAUGCUUAGAUAUCACGAAGAACUCCGAUUGCGAAGGCAGCCUGCUAAGCUGCAACUGACAUUGAGGCUCGAAAGCGUGGGUAUCAAACAGGAUUAGAUACCCUGGUAGUCCACACGGUAAACGAUGAAUACUCGCUGUUUGCGAUAUACUGCAAGCGGCCAAGCGAAAGCGUUAAGUAUUCCACCUGGGGGAGUACGCCGGCAACGGUGAAACUCAAAGAAAUUGACGG
rnacentral:rRNA from 1 species